GAAGUAAACAGAGAGAAACCAUGUGAUCAAUCAUAGAACCCCAUCCAAUCACGUUUCCGGUCAAUUGCACUCCGGUUCAGUGGAGGCCCAUUCGCGAACUCCCCAAAUGUGGGAAUCUCGACUGCAUAAUUUAUGGUAGUGGGGGACUGCGUUCGCGCUCUCCCCUG